rnacentral:rRNA from 1 species
UGAAACCGUUCGGGGGUAAACGGACAGAGCCCGUGAAUCUGGACGGCGGAAUUCAGGAUAGACGGGCGCGCGCCACCGCCGUGUGUAGCGCGUCGUUAGUCUGUUUGAUAUUUCCGUCGUCGUCGUCGUGUUGUUUUGUGGUUGUKGUGUACAANCRACAACCAACRACAACAACGCGCACAGACGUUGCGACCUGUUCGACGUUGGUCCACGCUCGGAAGAAGCCGUCACCGAGUUCGCCGCRGCGUCCGUUUCGGCGGCGUUUGCGACGAAGGUGCGCGCGGAUUUAUUCUGGCCAACUUGUCUGGACAGUAAGUUGCACACACGGUAGCCGGCGUCGUUACGCUUUCGCGAGUACGCGGCGUCCGGUACUGGUCGGCAACGAUUUUAUCGGGCCU